rnacentral:rRNA from 1 species
UACGGAGGGUGCAAGCGUUGUCCGGAUUUAUUGGGUUUAAAGGGUGCGUAGGCGGCUAUUUAAGUCAGUGGUGAAAUCCUGCAGCUCAACUGUAGAACAGCCAUUGAUACUGAAUAGCUUGAGUACAGACGAGGUAGGCGGAAUUUAUGGUGUAGCGGUGAAAUGCAUAGAUAUGACUUAGAACACCAAUUGCGAAGGCAGCUUGCUAAACAAAUAUUGACGCUGAGGCACGAAAGCGUGGGGAUCAAACAGG